AUAUAUAUAUAUACACACACAUAUUGUUUAAGCAGUAAACAACAUAUGUAUGUAUGUAUAUAUAUGUGUGUGUUUGUGUGUGUGU